AUUUAACGCUGGCGGCAUGCCUUACACAUGCAAGUCGAACGGCAGCACGGGUGCUUGCACCUGGUGGCGAGUGGCGAACGGGUGAGUAAUACAUCGGAACGUACCUUAUCGUGGGGGAUAACGCAGCGAAAGCUGUGCUAAUACCGCAUACGCCCUGAGGGGGAAAGCGGGGGAUCGAAAGACCUCGCGCGAUUAGAGCGGCCGAUGCCUGAUUAGCUUGUCGGUGGGGUAAAAGCCCACCAAGGCGACGAUCAGUAGCUGGUCUGAGAGGACGAUCAGCCAAACUGGGACUGAGACACGGACCAGACUCCUACGGGAGGCAGCAGUGGGGAAGUUUGGACAAUGGGGGCAACCCUGAUCCAGCAAUGCCGCGUGAGUGAAGAAGGCCUGCGGGUUGUAAAGCGCUUUUGUCAGGGAAGAAACACCGGCUCUAACACAGUCCGGGAAUGACGGUACCUGAAGAAUAAGCACCGGCUAACUACGGGCCAGCCGCCGCGGUAA
rnacentral:rRNA from 1 species